AUUGAACGCUGGCGGCAGGCCUAACACAUGCAAGUCGAACGGAGUGGCGGACGGGUGAGUAAUGUCUGGGAAACUGCCUGAUGGGGGGGGGUUACUACUGGAAACGGUAUCUAAUACCGCAUUCUAUCAGAUGAGCCUAGGUCGGAUUAGCUAGUUGGUGGGUGAAAGGCCUACAAAGGCGACGAUCCGUAACUGGUCUGAGAGGCUGAGCAGUAACACUGGAAUUGAGACAGGGUCCAGACUCCUAAGGGAGGAAGCAGUGGGGAAUAUUGGACAAGGGGGGAAAGCUGGAUCCAGCCAUGCCGGGUGUGUGAAGCAGGUCUUCGGAUUGUAAAGCACUUUAAGCGGGGAGGCGUUACCAACAGAAUAAGCACCGGCUAACUUCGUGCCAGCAGCCGCGGUAAUUC
rnacentral:rRNA from 1 species